AACGAACGCUGGCGGCAUGCUUAACACAUGCAAGUCGAACGAAACCUCCCGGCUUAUUGGCGCACGGGGGCGUACGGCCGGGGAACUUGCCCUUAGGUUAGCUAUAACUCCCUGAAAGGGGACUUAAUAACGGUGGAUGUCAUCCGAGCAAAGAUGUAUGGCGUUUGGAUGGGGGCGCGUUGGAUUCGCCGGUUGGUAGGGUAAAAGCCUGUCAAGGCCAGGUUCCAUAGCUGGUCUGUGAGGAUGAUCAGCCACACUGGGACUGAGACACGGGCCAGAAUCGUACGGAGAGCAGGAGUAGGGAAUAUUAGACGAUGAGCGAAAGCCUGGUCCAGCAGUGCGGGGUAAGUGAUGAAGGCCUUAGGAUUGUAAAGCUCUUUUACCCGAAGUGAUAGUGACGGUACCGGGAAAAUAAGCACCGGCUAACUACGUG
rnacentral:rRNA from 1 species